rnacentral:rRNA from 1 species
GGGGGGAAGGGGGGGGGGGGCUAUACAUGCAGUCGAGCGAAUGGAUUAAGAGCUUGCUCUUAUGAAGUUAGCGGCGGACGGGUGAGUAACACGUGGGUAACCUGCCCAUAAGACUGGGAUAACUCCGGGAAACCGGGGCUAAUACCGGAUAACAUUUUGAACCGCAUGGUUCGAAAUUGAAAGGCGGCUUCGGCUGUCACUUAUGGAUGGACCCGCGUCGCAUUAGCUAGUUGGUGAGGUAACGGCUCACCAAGGCAACGAUGCGUAGCCGACCUGAGAGGGUGAUCGGCCACACUGGGACUGAGACACGGCCCAGACUCCUACGGGAGGCAGCAGUAGGGAAUCUUCCGCAAUGGACGAAAGUCUGACGGAGCAACGCCGCGUGAGUGAUGAAGGCUUUCGGGUCGUAAAACUCUGUUGUUAGGGAAGAACAAGUGCUAGUUGAAUAAGCUGGCACCUUGACGGUACCUAACCAGAAAGCCACGGCUAACUACGUGCCAGCAGCCGCGGUAAUACGUAGGUGGCAAGCGUUAUCCGGAAUUAUUGGGCGUAAAGCGCGCGCAGGUGGUUUCUUAAGUCUGAUGUGAAAGCCCACGGCUCAACCGUGGAGGGUCAUUGGAAACUGGGAGACUUGAGUGCAGAAGAGGAAAGUGGAAAUUCCAUGUGUAGCGGUGAAAUGCGUAGAGAUAUGGAGGAACACCAGUGGGCGAAAGCGACUUUCUGGUCUGUAACUGACACUGAGCGCGAAAGCGUGGGGAGCAAACAGGAUUAGAUACCCUGGUAGUCCACGCCGUAAACGAUGAGUGCUAAGUGUUAGAGGGUUUCCGCCCUUUAGUGCUGAAGUUAACGCAUAAGCACUCCCGCCUGGGGGAGUACGGCCGCAGGCUGAAACUCAAAGGAAUGACGGGGCCCGCCACAGCGUGGAGCAUGGUGUUAAUCGAGCACGCGAGAACCUACCAGGUCUGACAUCCUCUGAACAACCUAGAGAUAGGCCUGCUCAUCGGGAGCAGAGCUGACGGGUGGUGCCAUUGAUGUUCGUCACGCCUCGGUCUGCAAUGUUAGGUUAAGUCCGCCACAGAUUGCAGCUGGAACUUGAAUUGGCA